GAUGAAGAACGUAGCGAAAUGCGAUAAGUAAUGUGAAUUGCAGAAUUCAGUGAAUCAUCGAAUCUUUGAACGCACCUUGCACCCUUUGGCAUUCUGAAGGGUAUGCUCGUUUGAGUGUCAUUGUACUCUCACACUCCCGAUCUUUGCAUUGGGAGCAGUGGACUUGGGUUUGCUGCUUCACCGUCGCUUACCUCAAAUAGGUUAGUGCAACUCUUGGUUGGACAUAGUACGGCGUGAUAAGUGUUCUUCGCCGGUGCCUCGCAAAGAGGGUGGCCGAUCGGGAUGUUGUGCUCAAAACCGUCUUCGGACAAUCUCUGACGACUUGACCUCAAAUCGAGUAAGACUACCCGCUGAACUUAAGCAUAUCAAUAAGCGGAGGA
rnacentral:misc_RNA from 1 species